GACAGAGGCCUCGAGCGUUAGACGGAAUCACUGGGCUUAAAGCGUGUGUAGGCGGAUCGUUAAGUGCCUUGUGAAAUCCCCCGGCUUAACCUGGGAACUGCGUCUGAUACUGGAAGGCUCGAGUUUGGGAGAGGGAUGCAGAAUUCCAGGUGUAGCGGUGAAAUGCGUAGAUAUCUGGAGGAAUACCGGUGGCGAAGGCGGCAUCCUGGACCAACACUGACGCUGAGGCGCGAAAGCUAGGGGAGCAAACGGG
rnacentral:rRNA from 1 species